UUUUACCUGUAUGUGUACAGUAUUGUGUUUUUCACCUGAUUGUUUACAGUAAUUUGUUUUUCACCUGAUUGUGCACAGCAAUUUGUUUUUACCUGAUUGUGCACAGUAAUUUUUUUUUUAACUGAUUGUUUACAUUUGUUUGUUUUUCACCUGAUUAUGUAAAGUAAUUUGUUUUUCACCUGAUUGUGUAAAGUAAUUUGUUUUUACCUGAUUGUGUCCAGUAAUUUGUUUUUCACCUGAUUGUUUACAGCAAUUUGUUUUUACCUGAUUGUGCACAGUAAUUUGUUUUUCGCCUGAUUGUGUCCAGUAAUUUGUUUUUCACCUGAUUGUUUACAGCAAUUUGUUUUUACCUGAUUGUGUACAGUAUUUUGUUUUUCACCUGAUUGUGUAAAGUAAUUUGUUUUUCACCUGAUUGUGUACAGUAUUUUGUUUUUCACCUGAUUGUGUAAAGUAAUUUGUUUUUCACCUGAUUGUGUACAGUAUUUUGUUUUUCACCUGAUUGUGUACAGUUAUUUGUUUUCACCUGAUUGUGUACAGUUAUUUGUUUUUCACCUGAUUGUGUACAGUUAUUUGUUUUUCACCUGAUUGUUUGCAGUAAUUUGUUUUCACCUGAGUGUGUCCAGUAAUUUGUUUUUCACCUGAUUGUUUGCAGUAAUUUGUUUUCAUCUGAUUGUGUACAGUACUUUGUUUUCACCUGAUUGUGUCCAGCAAUUUGUUUUUCACCUGAUUGUGUACAGUAAUUUGUUUUUCACCUGAUUGUUUGCAGUAAUUUGUUUUCAUCUGAUUGUGUAUAGUAAUUUGUUUUCACCUGAUUGUUUACAGUAAUUUAUUUUCAUGUGAUUGUGUACAGUAAUAUGUUUUUCAUGUAAUUAUGUACAGUAAUUUUUUUUUCACCUAAUAUCUUCAGAUUUGUCAGUUUCCCUUUUUCUGUGAAAUAGAUGUAUACUGACCUCUCCAUUAACCGACAUAUUACAACAACUUAGAGAAAGUGCCUGCUUCCUUUGAAAAUAUAACGAACCAUUUGAUGUUGGAACUGAACGCGUCAUAGACUGAAUAGACUGUUACUUGAAGGCUUUAGGGACACUUUAAAGAAAUUAGAAAAAGGAAUAUUAUUUACUUCCGUAAACUGGAAAGAUUCUGGUUAAACAUUGAAAACAUGACGUCAAUACAUUUACAAUGGCCGAGUCUCUGGGAUGACAAGAGCACGAGCUGUCAAGCAGGUGCUUGUGUGAGUUUUCGAGAGUAUGAAACACAGUGACUAAUCUCAUAAAAGAUACAAACUUAAGAGUAGGGCACAAACGGGCCCCUGGGAUCAGAGGUGGGAUCGGGUACCUAGGAGUAAGCAUCCCAUGUCGACCGGGCACACCCGCCGUGAGUCCUAUGUCUUGAUCAAAUAAACGGAGUAAUCCGUAGUCAAAAUCAGUGUAUAAAGAAAGGACUAACAGCCGAUAAGGAGUGUCGGCGUUUUCAAGUGAGUGUGGUGAAAGAUAUUGGGGAUGAAGAAAGGGUUGACCAUUGGUGGACAUAUUGACCAUUGGUGAACAGAUUGACCAUUGGGGAACAGAUUGACCAUUGUUUUUUUUAUGGACCACAAGAGGAAGCAUCAUUUAGUUCCAUGACAAACAUCAUAGACAGUCCAAGUGACUUAAUACUGAACCCCCCUGCGCCUUCCAGACAGUUAGAUAAGAAUUAUUUACAUCAGGAAAAUCUGCAGUGGAAUGUUUUUAGAAGAAAGACGUUUUGGAUGGGAAAAAAAGAUGUUACCCUGUGCAAGAACAUAUGCCCUGCAAGAAGAAGCGACACUGAAGACCUUGAAGAGAAACAAAGACAGGAGGAGGAACAGAAACAAGAGAUACAAAUAGAUAGAAAGACAAAGAGGAAUAGGAAGGAAGUGCAUACAAAUAGAUAGAAAGACAAAGAGGAAUAGGAAGGAAGUGCAUACAAAUGCUUUAAAAAAGGACCAGAACAGUUUCUUUAAAAACAAAUUAGCAAAACUGGGAUGAAGCCACGUACAUGUACAACCCAUUAACUUCAACAUGAAGAAAAAAUAAAGUCGUAAUCAUUUUCACUCUUUGUCAAACAUUUGAAGGCUUAUUUUGGGCAGGCAGAAACAUAAAUGUCUUCAGUGAUCACCAGCCUAUCUCAGUUAUUUUUGGAACUUCAAUAAAUCAUCAACUGAAAUUUCGUCCAUUUCAUACAAAUAUUUUUUAUUCAAAAAUACAGAAUGUCCAACUGAG